UACAGAGGGGGCAAGCGUUGUUCGGAAUUACUGGGCGUAAAGGGCGCGUAGGCGGCCCGCUAAGUCGAACGUGAAAUCCCCAGGCUCAACCUGGGAACUGCGUCCGAUACUGGCAGGCUUGAAUCCGGGAGAGGGAUGUGGAAUUCCAGGUGUAGCGGUGAAAUGCGUAGAUAUCUGGAGGAACACCGGUGGCGAAGGCGGCAUCCUGGACCGGUAUUGACGCUGAGGCGCGAAAGCCAGGGGAGCAAACGGGG
rnacentral:rRNA from 1 species